rnacentral:rRNA from 1 species
CCUACGGGGGGCAGCAGUGAGGAAUAUUGGUCAAUGGACGAGAGUCUGAACCAGCCAAGUAGCGUGAAGGAUGACUGCCCUAUGGGUUGUAAACUUCUUUUAUAUGGGAAUAAAAUGUUCCACGUGUGGGAUUUUGUAUGUACCAUAUGAAUAAGGAUCGGCUAACUACGUGCCAGCAGCCGCGGUAAAACGUAGGGGGCGAGCGUUGUCCGGAAUGACUGGGCGUAAAGGGUGCGUAGGCGGCAUAAUAAGUUAGAAGUGAAAUACCCAGAGCUUAACUCGGGUGCUGCUUCUAAGACUGUUGAGCUUGAGUGCGGGAGAGGUUAAUGGAAUUCCUAGUGUAGCGGUGGAAUGCGUAGAUAUUAGGAGGAACACCAGAGGCGAAGGCGAUUAACUGGACCGUAACUGACGCUGAGGCACGAAAGUGUGGGUAGCAAACAGGAUUAGAUACCCCUGUAGUC